rnacentral:rRNA from 1 species
UACGUAGGGUGCUAGCGUUGUUCAGAAUCAUUGGGCGUAAAGCGCGUGUAGGCGGUUAGUUAAGUCGGGUGUGAAAUCCCUGGGCUCAACCGAGGAAGUGCAUCCGAAACUAAUUAGCUAGAGAAUGGUAGAGGAAGGUGGAAUUCCGUGUGUAGAGGUGAAAUUCGUAGAUAUACGGAGGAAUACCGGUGGCGAAGGCGGCCUUCUGGACCAUUUCUGACGCUGAGACGCGAAAGCGUGGGGAGCAAACAGG